rnacentral:lncRNA from 1 species
UCUGUAUGGAAAUGAUUUUGUGUUUGAAUUACAGGUUUGUUACUUCCUUGGUUAUCUAAAGAAGUUGACUGCAACCUUAUGAGUGGCCUGUUCAUACAGAUUCACUGCAGCAUCACUUGGCUUCUUCAGCUGUUGUUCACCCUGGAAUUGAAGGUUUCUUGCAUGGCAGCAUCAGUGUUAAUGAGUGUUGACCAUUGUAGAUUCCCUCAUCUAUUGGAGACAAUGACCUAAUUUUAUACAAGAUGAAUCUACUCCUGGAACCAGCAGUCUGGAUUUGCAUAUGCUGAAUGAAUCUACUUUUACCAGGCUUAUUUGCAUGAACCAAUUUGGAUGCAGCAUAGUCAUAGAAAGACUCUUGUCUGUGUUUCGCUGGAGGUUUCUAACUGGUAAAGCAUAGUAGUUAUUUAAUAGGGAAUGAAGGUAUGUUUUUCAGUGUGUGUGACUCCCUGGAAUUUAUUCUGAAUUGAUCUCAAUGUAUUACUGCAGUAGUGAUCAGCAAAUACAUGUUUUUCUGAUUUUUCUUCUCCCUCUUAUUUCUUGAUGCCUCUGCUAUCACAGUCCAAAUAAUCUAAUAGAAGGCAUUACUUUUGGAGCAGCCCUUGCACCUAAAAUGAAACGGAUAGGUUGUAAACUGCAUACAACUCCUAUGAAUUGCAGCAUUGAUUUGCAGAUUUAACAGUCCUUUUAUUGCGUUUGUAUGACUGGAAGCCCUUGUUUGCUGAUUUACUGCACAAAUAUAACCACUUUUAAUUUUGCCUUGGAUUUUCUCUUUUAAUGAGAUAUCUGUAUGCAUCAUAUCUGUAUGCAUCAUAGAAAUCAGUGGCUUGUACUUCUGAGGAACACAGUAAACUGAUCUGUUUUGAGCUCUUUUGCCAUUGCUGGACUCCUGGAGUAUUGUAGGUUGUUUGUAGCUAGCUGCUCUGUCUGUAUGCUGCACUGCAGGCUGUAAUGUAGGCACAUCCAAGAUUGUUUUGCUAGUACGAUUUUUCAGUAUAUUCAUACUAAAUCUAGCAGAUAAAGCACUGUUGCUAUGUCUGUCUGUCACUGGAUACACCUCUUAUUAAGUCAAUUUACAUAGUGUCCAGUUAAAGCAAUGUCCGGUAUUUAAUAACAAAAUAUAUGGGUUUUAACUGCAGUCGUUCUAAAUAUCAGACCUUGUGUGCAGUGAGAAUUGAGUAGUCAUCAAGAAAAUAACUCAGAAAAGGAUUUUCAGAGUGACAGCUUGUUCUCUUGAAGCAGGCAGUUCCCCAAGCAGAGCCUUCCCACUAAGGAUGCCUUGAGCUAUUCUCAACCUAUUGUUAACCACAGCUGAUGAAAGACCAAGACUCAGUUGGCUGAGGGAGACGUGCAAGCAAGUUAGUUCAUUUUCAUGGCCCCAAUUCAGCAAAGCAGUUAAGCAUUUGCUUCUGCCCCAUUAGAGUCCAAUGGUUCUUUAAACUUAUCGCUUAAAAAGGAGUUUUGAUGUUUGCAUCAGGUGGAAAGAAAAUGGUUAGGAUGAAAUAAAGAACUAAAGAGUCUUGGGAGGUAGCA